rnacentral:rRNA from 1 species
UACGUAGGGUGCGAGCGUUGUCCGGAAUUAUUGGGCGUAAAGGGCUCGUAGGCGGUCUGUUACGUCGGGAGUGAAAACUCAGGGCUCAACCCUGAGCCUGCUUCCGAUACGGGCAGGCUAGAGUUCGGUAGGGGAGACUGGAGUUCCUGGUGUAGCGGUGAAAUGCGCAGAUAUCAGGAGGAACACCGGUGGCGAAGGCGGGUCUCUGGGCCGAUACUGACGCUGAGGAGCGAAAGCGUGGGGAGCGAACAGG